rnacentral:tRNA from 1 species
GGGAAUAUAGCUCAGUGGCACAAGCACCUGCCUGGCAAGCACAGGUCCUGGGUUCAAUUCCCAGUAUCA